GAUGAAAUCCUCAAGAGUUUUAUUAGUGAUCCUGUGGCUUCAGUUAAUCUAAUCGGUCUUCCUGAAGCCUGAGAUUACCUGCAGUAUCAUAUUUGGCCUCUAGAGGGAGAUGCUACACAACUUGAACGUGAUGGAAAGCCAGAAAGCCACCAGCCCUUUGAGGAAGAGCUUUUACUUUGCUUGCCCUGUAAAUCCACUCACUGCUCUGUCAGGGUGUCCAUGUGGCUGAAUUGUUUCCAGGAAAAACCUGCAGAAAGGAGCCUCCUGCUUCCUCAGAGCUCAGACAUGAUGCGCACCCUCAUCUCAGUGCUUGUGACGAUAUUCACACUUGGAGGAACAAGAGCCCAGACAAUGACUCAGCCUGAGAGGCACAUCUCUGUGUCUAAAGGGGACCCAGUGCAGGUGAAGUGCAGCUAUUCGUAUUCUGGGAGUCCUUGGCUCUUCUGGUAUGUCCAGUACCCCAGAGAGCGCCUCCAGUUACUUCUGAAACACUCCUCAAGAGAGAGCAUCCAGGGUUUCACCGCUGACCUCAACCAGGCUGAGGCAUCCUUCCAUCUGAAAAAACCCUCAGCUCAGGAGGAAGACUCAGCUGUGUAUUACUGUGCUCUGGGUAACACAGUACCUGGCUUCACAAGAGAAGCAGAGCUCAAAUCCCUUACAGAAAGCAAUUCCAUGUUCCUUAUUUGACCA